rnacentral:rRNA from 1 species
UACGAAGGGGGCUAGCGUUGCUCGGAAUUACUGGGCGUAAAGCGCACGUAGGCGGCUUUCUAAGUCGGGGGUGAAAUCCUGGAGCUCAACUCCAGAACUGCCUUCGAUACUGGAGAGCUUGAGUCCGGGAGAGGUGAGUGGAACUGCGAGUGUAGAGGUGGAAUGCGCAGAUAUCAGGAAGAACACCCGUGGCGAAAGCGGCUCUCUGGAACGGUACUGACGCUGAGACGCGAAAGCGUGGGGAGCGAACAGG